CCGAGAAUAAAGAUUGUCUGACAGUGUCUACGUGCAACUCAUCCAUGUCCUACUGUACCUCGACCGUCGUGAAGUUCCUCUUUAUUAAGUCUGUAACUAAAGGAUGCGUCUCCAGUUGUGUUUCAGGAAGUGAAAGUAUUGUUAUAUUUUCUGGUUCACAAACCUGCUGCAGUACCAACCUCUGUAAUAACAGGACUGUCCAAGAUUUACUGAAUUCAGGAAACAGCAAACACAGUUUGACCAAUAGUAUUUUCCUAAUUGUGAGCAUCACCAGCCUAAUGAGCACUGCUCUCACUAUGGGACUUUAAUACAUUUCAGACAAUGGACAAACAAGUAUUUUAACCAUUUUGUAAUUUGAUAUUUAAACAGAUAAAGUCCAAUGGAACUUAUUUGGCAAACAAGAUCACCUAUUGAUGGAACAGGAGCUGUAAACAAAACAUUUAAAAUAUUUGUACAAAUAAAUGUGUGAUUAUUAAAGUA